GCUGGCGUAGCUCAACGGUAGAGCAGCUGAUUUGUAAUCAGCAGGUUGGGGGUUCAAGUCCCUCCGCCAGCU
rnacentral:tRNA from 1 species